GGAUUGCCCUAGUAACGGCGAGUGAAGCGGCAACAGCUCAAAUUUGAAAUCUGAUCUCUUCGAGGUCCGAGUUGUAAUUUGUAGAGGGCGCUUUGGUGUUGGCUGCGGUCUAAGUUCCUUGGAACAGGACGUCAUAGAGGGUGAGAAUCCCGUCUGUGGUCGCAUGUCUUCACCGUGUAAAGCCCCUUCGACGAGUCGAGUUGUUUGGGAAUGCAGCUCUAAAUGGGAGGUAAAUUUCUUCUAAAGCUAAAUACUGGCCAGAGACCGAUAGCGCACAAGUAGAGUGAUCGAAAGAUGAAAAGCACUUUGGAAAGAGAGUCAAACAGCACGUGAAAUUGUUGAAAGGGAAGCGCUUGCAGCCAGACUUGCUUGCAGUUGCUCAUCCGGGCGCUCGCCCGGUGCACUCUUCUGUAGGCAGGCCAGCAUCAGUUUGGGCGGUUGGAUAAAGGCCUCUGUCAUGUAUCUUCUCCGGAAGACCUUAUAGGGGAGGCGUAAUGCAACCAGCCUGGACUGAGGUCCGCGCAUCUGCUAGGAUGCUGGCGUAAUGGCUGUAAGCGGCCCGUCUUGAAACACGGACCAAGGAGUCUAACAUCUAUGCGAGUGUUUGGGUGUCAAGCCCGAGCGCGCAAUGAAAGUGAACGGAGGUGGGAACCCUCGGGUGCACCAUCGACCGAUCCUGAAGUCUUCGGAUGGAUUUGAGUAAGAGCAUAGCUGUUGGGACCCGAAAGAUGGUGAACUAUGCUUGAAUAGGGUGAAGCCAGAGGAAACUCUGGUGGAGGCUCGCAGCGGUUCUGACGUGCAAAUCGAUCGUCAAAUUUGGGCAUAGGGGCGAAAGACUAAUCGAACUAUCUAGUA
rnacentral:rRNA from 1 species